CAUUGUCGGAACUAGAAGCACAAGCAUUUCGCUACACUCGCAUUAACAUCUGCUAACCAUGUGUAUGUGACAAAUAAAAUUUGAUUUGAAACAUGAAUUUGACAAAAUCUUAAGACCACUACGAAUGCUUAAUGAAUGCUUUACGGAGUGUUAUAAACUCUUUAUAAAGCUUUAUGACUGUUUGAUGGGUGCAGACCUGUAGUGUUGGAGUGUGUUGAGGCGUUUCCAAUUGCCCUGGACAAUAGACGUCAGGUCUUCAUCAGACAGGAUCAGAUGACCUGCUACACCAGACCUCCACUCUGAAACACACAGUAUAUUAGACAGGACUAUAGACAGAAUGAAAACACACACAGUAGGUAGACAGGCCUAUACACAGAAUGAAAACACACAGUAUGUAGACAGGCCUAUACACAGAAUGAAACACACACAGUAGGUAGACAGGCCUAUACACAGAAUGUUAGACAGGCCUAUACACAGAAUGUAGACAGGCCUAUACACAGAAUGUAGACAGGCCUAUACACAGAAGUAGACAGGCUAUACACAGUAUGUAGACAGGCCUAACACAGAAUGUAGACAGGCCUAUACACAGAAUGUAGACAGGCCUAUACACAGAAUGUAGACAGGCCUAUACACAGAAUGUAGACAGGCUAUCCGAAUGUAGACAGGCCUAUACACAGAAUGUAGACAGGCCUAUACACGUAUGUAGACAGGCCUAUACACAGUAUGUAGACAGGCCUAUACACAGAAUGUAGACAGGCCUAUACACAGAAGUGAAGGCCUAUACACAGUAGAAGUAACACAGAAGUGACAGCCUAUACACAGAAUGAAAAAGAACACUAUUUAACACUAUACAUCACUUAGUCUCAGUCUCUACCAAAUAACAUAUUCAGAUCCAGUGAGUGAGUGAGGAGGGGAAAGGUAUGCGUGAAAGUGUGUCUGUGUGUGUGAGCGGCUGUAUGCACCCAAGUCUCGUAUUCUAACAGCAAGUCAAACCCAAGUCUCGUAUUCUAACAGCAAGUCAAAUCACAGUCUCGUAUUCACAGCAAGUCAAACCCAAGUCUCCUGUUCUAACAGCAAGUCAAACCCAGUCUCCUGUUCUAACAGCAAGUCAAACCCAAGUCUCCUAUUCUAACAGCAAGUCAAACCCAAGUCUCCUAUUCUAACAGCAAGUCAAACCCAAGUCUCCUAUUCUAACAGCAAGUCAAACCCAAGUCUCCUAUUCUACAGCAAGUCAAACCCAAGUCUCCUUUCUAACAGCAAGUCAAACCCAAGUCUCCUAUUCUAACAGCAAGUCAAACCCAAGUCUCCUAUCUAACAGCAAGUAAACCAAGUCUCCUAUUCUAACAGCGUCCAGUCAAGUGACAAGUUCUCAAGUCUCAAGUCAAGUAAAAAACUAAAUCCAUACAUACAUCCAUACAUAUUUGUUCAACUCCAAAUCUUUGUCUAUUUAUUGAGGCUAUCAGACAGCCCCUUUUCAUUAUUUGUCUUCUCUAAUGUAAAAUAUGAACCUUGUAACUGAUGUCAAGGCAGGUUUAUAUUAC
rnacentral:lncRNA from 1 species